CAGGACUCCUCCUCCGCACAUGCCCGAACCCCCUCAGCCUCGCUUCUCGCAUCUUCUCAUCCAACGGGGUCACCCCCACCUUCUCUCGAAUAUCUUCAUUCUUAAUCUUAUCUAACCUGGUGAGCCCGCAUAUCCACCUAAGCAUCUUCAUCUCCGCAACCUUCAUUCUCUGAACAUGAGAGUUCUUCACUGGCCAACACUCCGCCCCAN
rnacentral:lncRNA from 1 species